GGGCUCCCUCCUCGUGAGCCGCGGCCCCUGUCGUGUGGGCAGGACCCGGCCGGCAGGCUCCCCGGAGGGAAGCGGAGCCCGCCGCAGUGCGGCCGGGCCGGGGAUGGGCAGCCCCGCGAGUGCUCGGUGGGCUCCCUCCGCAGGUCAGGCCAGCCCUCCCCAGGCCCGGCCGCUCUCUGGUCGCCGCCCGCACACACGCGGGCACCCGGAGGGGCAGGUCGUGCUUCGGAGAAGUUUCUUCCUCACUGAGCACGUACUCCGUUCCGGCCGAAGGUCCGCGCGGGGUGGGAGAGACCGUGAGCCCAGUGGCAGUCUGCGGAGUCCCCAGCUCUUCCCGGACAGGCCACCGCCGCCCGCCACGAUGCUGCUCCGCGGCCUUCCGCACGGUCUCCAGCAGCCUCAGCGCCCCAUCCGUGUGUCCUGUGCGGACAGCUGCGCAUGCCACCACGGCCAGCAACGCGCCGGCAUCCCUGCGGCGGCCAGCCUAUGUGCCAGGAGGGCUUCCCUGCGCAGAGCUCCCUGCGGCGGGGCCCGACGGGCCUGCAGCGCAAGUAAGGCUGGUAAGAUUCUGCCUCGGGGCCACGCGGACCCGGGACAGCGGCGCCGUUUAGAGAGGCUCCGAAGUGGAAGCAUUUGCUGUCCUUGUCAGCACAGCAGACUGAGAUGAGAGAGGUCUUUCGUCUCGUGUGCCACGGCCCGCGCGGGGUCCGGAGCAGGGAGCUAGCUCUUCGUGUCCUCCUGUCUGUCCAGCUCCUCGGGGGCUUGGCCGUCGGCCUCCCUUCCCGUCUUGGCUGCUUUCCGUCCGUCUGCCUCUGGUCAGUGUUUCUGCGGGGCGCCACGCCCCUGCGGGCGGCUGUGCUGUCUUUAAGCCUGGGAGCAGGGGUGAGGGACGCAGAGGCUUCACGAGCUUGGGAUGGUCCCUUCGGUGCUUGGACAGAAGUGGUAUUCUUAGUUUUCCUUGGGCGUGUAUUCCCUUAAUUCGAGUAAAUACAGGCGCAGAGGUGAGUCUGCUUGGUUAGCGGGCAGUCGCUCACGUGGGGAGGACCUUGCACUGCAGGGCAGGUGGGGGCCGGGCCAGUGGAGGGGGAGAUCUACUUAGUGCCAAGGGAGGUACCACGUGGCUCAUCGCAGAGGGUACACAUCGCAGAGGGUACAAUGUGGCAUCUCGCAUGGGGGUGGCCACACCUGUCGGGCGGGAGGGGAGCCCAGCAGUGGGUUCCUGAGGCCAGAGACAGGGCACAGUCCCCAAAUAGAUUUAGUCAGAGAAGAGCAGUGGGGUGGUUAGAAUCUUGGAAAUGUUGAAAUAAUGAAAUAAUGUUAAACAAUUAAGAUUGUGUUUCUGAGUUCCUUAUUUGGACAAUUGAAAACUGUGGUUCUAGCGUUUUAUCCCAGGUCGUGUGGACCAUUGGAGGAAAAGCUGGGAUUUAAACCCAGCUAUCAGCGCAGUCAGGGUCUGACCCUCAGGGUCCCCCACUCCCUCCAGGGCCUCCUACAUCGCCUGGUUUCUUUUGUCAGCCAGGAAAGCCGGCUGCGGGAGCUCGGCAUUGAGUCGACGCUCAACAAUGUUUUAUUGCACCAUCUGGAUGCACUCACGUGCCCUCUCCUGUGUUUAGAAACACGGAGAUGCGUGCGCAGCAAAGGGCGGCAGGAAGGAGUGUGUGCCCUUCCCGAGGAGCGACAGAACGGGGCUGCACCGGGUAAUCAGGGGCAUUUUGGUGGCUGAGCACAGGUCAACUCCCCGGAAGGGCGAGUGGAAGAGCCGGCCAGGGAGAGCGUCGUGAGCCUGGGUUCCUGUGCGCAGUCCUACGCGGUCCCGGUCUGAAGCCAGGGGCUGGGCGGGGCUGGGAGGUUGGGUAGGAACUGGUGGUACCUUCUGUGGAGGCGUGGCCCGGGCUGGAAAUCUCCGUGGGCUUCUGUGCCACAGACUGUAGAGCACUGUUUGUUGUCCCUGGAUUUGACCUGCUUUAUUGAAGGAUUUUAAAAUUGAAUUGAAGAAACACAUUUGAGGAAAUGUUGAACAGAAAAAUUCUUUUAUACGUGUGUGGAUGAGGAGGGUACAAGUAAGAAAAGAAA